AUAAAAGUUUUAUUUUAGCUUUAAAGGUUUUUAUAAAUUUAUUUUAUAUGCAAGUUUUUGCGAGAAUUUUUAUUUAUUUAAAAAAUAAAUAAAUUUUAUUAUAUCCGCAGUAAUUAAUAUUAUUGAUUAAAGAAAUUUAGAAAUAGAUAUAUUAUUAAGUAUUGGCUAAAUUUGUGCCAGCAGCCGCGGUUACACAAAUGAUGCGAAAAACUUUUUUCAAUAUAAAGUUAAAUUGAAUAUUAAAAAUUAAAAAAUGAUUUAUUAGGUGAAAUUUUUAAAUCAUUAAAAAUUUAGAUAAAAAAAAUAUUGAAGCUUAAAAAUUUUAAUAAAAAACUAGGAUUAGAUACCCUAUUAUUUAAAAUGUAGAAUUAAAAUAUUUGAGUAGUAUUAGUUAUGAUCUUGAAACUUAAAAAAUUUGGCGGUAUUUUAGUCUAUUCAGAGGAACCUGUUCUGUAAUCGAUAAUCCACGUUGGACCUUACUUAAAUUUGUCAAUCAGUUUAUAUACCGUCGUUAUAAGAAUAUUUUAAAAGAAAAAUAAUUUUCUAGAUUUUUAAGAUAAAAAAUAUAUCAGAUCAAGGUGUAGCUUAUAUUUAAGUAGAAAUGGGUUACAAUAAAAUUAUUUAUAUGGAAAUGAAAAUGAAAAAUUUAUUGAAAGUGGAUUUGAUAGUAAAAUUAUAAAGAUUAAUAAUUUGAUUUUAGCUCUAAAAUAUGCACACAUCGCCCGUCGCUCUUAUUAUUAAGAUAAGAUAAGUCGUAACAUAGUAGGGGUACCGGAAGGUGUCCCUAGAAUGA
rnacentral:ncRNA from 1 species